rnacentral:rRNA from 1 species
UACGGAGGGUGCGAGCGUUGUCCGGAAUCAUUGGGCGUAAAGGGCGCGUAGGUGGCCCGGUCAGUCCGUGGUGAAAGCGCGGGGCUCAACCCCGCGUCGGCCAUGGAUACUGCUGGGCUGGAGCACUGUAGAGGCAGGCGGAAUUCCGGGUGUAGCGGUGGAAUGCGUAGAGAUCCGGAAGAACACCGGUGGCGAAGGCGGCCGCUGGGCAGUUGCUGACACUGAGGCGCGACAGCGUGGGGAGCAAACAGGG